UACAGAGGUCUCAACCGUUGUUCGGAUUCAUUGGGCGUAAAGGGUGCGUAGGCGGUCGCGCAAGUCGGAUGUGAAAUCUCAGGGCUCAACCCUGAACUGCAUUCGAUACUGCGUGGCUAGAGUGCUGGAGAGGAGACUGGAAUUUACGGUGUAGCAGUGAAAUGCGUAGAUAUCGUAAGGAAGGCCAGUGGCGAAGGCGAGUCUCUGGACAGUUACUGACGCUGAGGCACGAAGGCCAGGGGAGCAAACGGG
rnacentral:rRNA from 1 species